rnacentral:misc_RNA from 1 species
GUUCAAACAUUCCAACGCACGUUCGACGCAGACCUGGCACGAGACGAUUACUCCUUUUCUCAUUACUCAACUUCCGGAGGUGCCGCUGCAUCAUCGAGACUGGCAUCGACUGGCACGAGAAAAGAAGAAAAAAGAAACGCCAUUGAGAGAGUAAACGCGUGGCCGUUAACGUUGACAUGUCCAUUCUAGACGAGCGCGACGAGUACCUAAAGAACCCGUACUUCAAGGAGCACGAGUACGGCGACUUCACACCGUUCUAUGUCGCGGUCGCCCUCUGCGCCGUCCUGGGUGGAUUUCUGUUCAUCCUGAACAUUGUAUUCUGCUGGUGCUCGCGACACAGAGAAUACUGGCAAAAUCGCCACACUGGCAAUAGGUGGAUCCAGCCUCUAUGGACUGUAUUGCCGCACAAAACACCGCCGCUUGACCUUAGCGAGUUAGAGUCUGGUCGUAUCAAGUACCCGCAAGUGAGGCACGAAAUUGUCCAGUAUCACGACUCGCAGAGUACCACGCCUCAGCCGCCGGAGUACAUGGAGAUGCAGAAGCGUGAGAGUGAAAUCUAAAGUAGUCAGCAGCAUACCAAGUAACACCAAACAGUGUUGGAAAGCAUUAGUAUUUUUACAUCAAAGGAACGAGACACCAUACUGACAGAGUCAGUUGUUUCAAUAGUUGCACUCGGCUAGUUGGAAACAGUCAAUAAUUUCGGCUAGUGUAGAUAAUCCUUUACUAUGGGUUUGCACGUUUUCUGGCCUGCCACGGCCUGCCUGACUCUUUUCGUAGUUUGCAUCAUAAUCGUGAUGCUAAGAUACGGUGCACGUCUCUGCAAAUUACGACACGAGCCACUACCAUCUGAUCAGGAAUGGGAGAGUAAAGCAUAUUCCAGGAAACUGUCAGUUUCCAUGGCAUGAGAACAGAUAGUAUUGUCCCAAAAAUGUUAUACGAAAAAAA